UACGAAGGGGGCUAGCGUUGUUCGGAAUCACGGGGCGUAAAGCGUACGUAGGCGGAUCGUUAAGUCAGGGGUGAAAGCCUGGAGCUCAACUCCAGAACUGCCUUUGAUACUGGCGAUCUUGAGACCGGGAGAGGUGAGUGGAACUGCUAGUGUAGAGGUGAAAUUCGUAGAUAUUAGCAAGAACACCAGUGGCGAAGGCGGCUCACUGGCCCGGUACUGACGCUGAGGUACGAAAGCGUGGGGAGCAAACAGG
rnacentral:rRNA from 1 species